rnacentral:ncRNA from 1 species
CCUCCCGGCGCGCCCGGACCCCUGAAAGCAAAGGAAGUUGGGAAAGCCACACCCAACCAAACCCUCCCCGUCACCCCAUCGGGUGACGCGGUGGAUCGGGCGGCGAGCGGCGCGGUACGGUCGCGGCGAAGCACCCCACAAACACGGACGGCCCCCGCCGGGACUGGCAUCCCGGACGAGGGCCUGAUCAUCAAGGAAGCGAAACCCUUCCCC